CCUACGGGUGGCUGCAGUGAGGAAUAUUGGUCAAUGGGCGCGAGCCUGAACCAGCCAAGUCGCGUGAGGGAAGAAGGUCCUAUGGAUUGUAAACCUCUUUUGUCGGGGAGCAAAAGACGGCACGCGUGGCGUGCCGAGAGUACCCGAAGAAAAAGCAUCGGCUAACUCCGUGCCAGCAGCCGCGGUAAUACGGAGGAUGCGAGCGUUAUCCGGAUGUAUUGGGUUGAAAGGGUGCGCAGGCGGAAGAUCAAGUCAGCGGUAAAAGUGAGAGGCUCAACCUCUUCGAGCCGUUGAAACUGGGUUUCUUGAGUGCGUGAGAGGUCUGCGGAAUGCGUGGUGUAGCGGU
rnacentral:rRNA from 1 species